UGGGGGGAGGGGGGAGGAGGGGAGAGGAGGAAGCUGAACAAUGAUUUGCUAAAUUUGAAAGAAACCCAACUUUUCACAUGAUACCAAACCUUUCCCGAACGCAACACUCUCUGCCCCGUUCUGUUCUCCAAUUUUCCAGCUGGAGCCAUCCCGAGCAAGUGGUGUCAUCAGCUCAAUUAAAAAUACUUCCUUCGUCUUGGCUGUACAGUGGCCUGUGGGCUUUCUGCAUUUUGGCUGGAUUUUACCAAAAGGAGUGACUCAGCCUCUUACAAGCCUUUGCUGCGAGUGUUACUAUAGCUGAUGGCUACGGAAACACCUUUCACACGGGCUCUUUCGGGACCAGGAGUUCGGCUAGGUAAACCCCUCAGUGUCUUCGGGAAACAGAACGGUUAUUGAAGCUCCAACUAUGUCGGUCGGGUUAAACUUUGACCAACUCAGGUGACCGGUCAGUCGAGCUCAAAACCUGGCGGAAUACUUCGUAUCAGCCGAGACCACACACCCAGAUUCCUGGAGCAUGUCUGGUGUUUGUAAUCAAACAUAACCCCAGAAUGUUUGCUCUCCUAAGUAGUGGAGACACGUUCUUCUCAGUUGAAAGCUUUGUGUCUUACUCAACAAGGUCUGUAUCUGAACUAUGUUAAAGGUGCAUAGUAAAGGGAUGACAUCACAGGGCUGCUUUGGUUCUUUGAGCUCUUGUGCUGAGCUGAAGUUGAGCAGUGACAGUGAGUCAUGUCGUCUUGUGACCGGCCGGGCACUUUCCCAAUCAGAGAGACUGUUGAGAUCUUAGACAAUAGAACCUGGGGUUGUUUGAAGAGGAGGGAUCCACAGGACCCGUAUGCUUGGUGACACCAGGCUUGUAUGGGAGAGUGCCCACUGGCAUUUCCUGGCACAGUGAGGACAGCGCUGCAACAUGAUCUGCACUUGGCCACUUGUGUGGGAUGUGGGACAAUGGCCACCAGAACGAAGAGGGAGGAAAACUGAACAAACUGUUGGAGGUGAAGUCAACCUACCAUUCUAAAGCACCAGAGUCAAGCAUUCCAUCGGAUGGAUGGUUUUCACUUACGGUGGGCCAUUAAGUCAUUCUCUUAGGGUCGUUCUGGGUAAUCGCGAAGGGGUGUGUACAGGAAAUUCUCCAUUAUUUUGAGGGGCUUUUCCAUAGUUUAUUUAUGACGGUGAUGCUCACAGUAUUUUCCCUGCAUAAAGACACAUCAUGAUAGACACCAGCUUUGUUAAAAAUGCACAGCAGCAGUGGAAGAACCUGGGGAACCUCAUUGGAAGGAAUAACAGCUGAAGGCAUCCAGGAAAAUGAUUAUGGACACUAACUCAGCUGUCAGGUACCUGGGUUCAAAUCUGGGCUCCACCCUUCAUGUCUGACUUGGAGAAAAUUCCCUAGCUUCUCUGUGCCUCAGUUAUUUACUGAUCUUUGCAAUCAGGAUGUAAUAGUACCUAUUCCAAAAGGCUAUUGUAGGAAUGAGCAUUACAGCAUACACAGUGAUUCGAGCAGUGCCUUAUGCACAGUAAUCAAUACAUGUUAGUGAUUAGUGGAAAGUGAAUCAUGUCUCCUAUAACUGCCAUUAAGACCAUGAAUCAUACUUCAGCGCAGGUCAUGAUCUCACGGCUCAUGAGUUCGAGCCCCGCGUCUGGCUCUGUGCUGACAGCUCAGAGCCCGGAGCCUGCUUCGUAUUCUGUGUGUGUGUGUGUCUCUCUCUCUGCCCUUCCGCUGCUCAUGUUCUGUCUCUCUCUGUCUCUCAUAAAUGAAUAAAUGUUAAAAAAAUUUUUUUAAAGGCCAUUAGUCAUAUACAACAGUUUUAUGACUUGCUUCCUAUUUUGCCAAAGCUGAUUCUAAACUUAUUACGGUUUGAUCCUGUAAUGUUGGCAAACAUUUAGCCAGCCUGAAGCUUCUAAGUCAUGUGAGGAUCUCAAAUUCUAGAAAGAACCUAGUAAUCAGUCAGGCAGGUACUAUUCGUUCAGAAAGGUUGUAAAGGUCAAGAGUUUUAAGAUAAAGUCCAGAUGGCUUGGAUAUUCAAUAAUUCUUAAACUCGGGGAUUAACUAUAUCAGCAGAAUUACAGUAAUAACUCAUUACCCAACGGUUUUAGCCCAGUUGACCACCAUAAACAC